UGAUUAGACAACAUCUGCAUUAUGAUUUAUGAACAUAAGAAAUGGGGGUCAUUGAGAAGAUGUAGCUUUUGUUUCUAUCUGUGCACUUAGAUUUCUGUCUGAAGAGAACGUGUAACAAACACCAUCUUCAACAUCUGAAGUUCAGCAUAGGACUUAGUUAAGACAGUAGCAGCAUCUGGAAUUGGAAUUCUCCAUCCAUUGCAGUGAAGCUCAAGUUUCUGACAGUUGUGUUUUUAGAACUGUGCCUGGUGGAGGCUCAGUGCUGAGGUGCUCGCCUGCUGUGAGCUGGGCUGUAGGACAGUCGGUCCUUGCGGUGCUGGCAGCUGCUGUGGAAUUCCUGUAGCAGAGCGGAUCAGCCGUCAGACUGCUGCAGCGUGACAGCCGUGUCCUCUGCUCGGCGUAGCUUUCCAGGUAAGGGAAUUAGAAGUGCCGUGAUGAUGUUUUCUUUAACUGAAAGUUUCCAUGGCGGUAGCGUAUGCUGGCACCCAAACCGGUCUGUGUGCUCUUGUAUUUAAAGCAACGUCUGGAUACACGAUACACGACCUACGUUAGUCUAUGUCGGUGUGUUUGUUUUUAAUUAAGGGUUUUUGUUAGCUCUGCAGGGCAUGCCGUCUCUGAAGUCCUGCUAAAAACAGCCUCUAGUUGUCUAGUCAGCUGAAGAAGCACGUUGGACAAAUGAUGCUUAGGUGCUCUCCAGCUGUUCUAAGAGACACAGCAGCCCGCCCUCAUCUCCGCGCGACGCGCGAACGGCGCCGCCUGCUCGGCGGGAAACCGCUGGGCGGCGGCCGGGGGCAGGUGAGAAUUGUGCGCAUGCGCGGCCGCGCUGAAUUUGGCGCCAUUUUCAGCGGGUCGGCCUGGGUGGCUGAGGCCGCGAUGUCGAACGGCGGUAGUAAGAUGGAAGCGUGCGGGCGAGCGGUCACCUCGGCCGCCUCGGAGUCCUAUACGGGUCGCUGCUCCUCCUCCCUGUCGGGGGUGGGCGGGCGCUACACGCUGGGCCUGCUGCAGACGCCGUGCAGCUCUGAAGACAGCGCCGGCGGCUCGUCCAGCGGCGGCGCGGGGCUCGCUCCCUUCAGGGCUGCCGGCAGGAAGGAGCCGCCGCGCUCCGGAAGGGGAGGUAGGGAGCGGCGUCUGCGUUCGGAAUCAUAUCUUGGGGACAAAAGUUCCUGUGCAGAAAAUGGUAGUGCAGUGAAUUUCACAAGUGGUUGUUCUGCACAAGGCCUGAAUAACACGUGUGUAGGAAAAAUACCCUUUUCUAUCAAUAGAUCUAUUGGCAGAAGCCAUACCCCUGUUACAGGAUAUUCAGUUACAUCAUCAUCUACAGUCUCUGCUCAUACUGCUGCGUCAGUUAUUGUAGCUGUAGUAGAAGGAAGAGGCCUUGCCAGAGGUGAAGUAGGAAUGGCCAGUAUUGACUUAAAGAAUCCUGAGGUGAUACUGUCACAGUUUGCAGACAAUACGACUUAUGCCAAGGUUAUUACUAAACUCAAAAUUUUAACACCUCUGGAAAUAAUAAUGCCAAACACUUCUUGUGAAGCAGGGAACACAACAAAAUUGUUUGCUUUAAUAACAGAACAUUUCAAAAAUGUGACGUUUACAACUGUCCAAAGAAAAUACUUCAAUGAAACAAAGGGCUUGGAGUAUAUAGAGCAAUUAUGUGCAUCUGAAUUCAGCACUGUUUUCAUGGAGAUUCAGUCAAAGUACUACUGUCUUGCAGCUGCUGCAGCUUUGCUGAAAUAUGUUGAGUUUAUUCAGAACUCCAUUUAUGCUCCUAAGUCACUCAAGGUCCAUUUCCAGGGGAGUGAGAAAACAGCUAUGAUAGAUUCAUCAUCGGCUCAAAAUCUGGAACUGGUAACUAAUAACAGAGAUUCUCGGAAUGGUCACACACUCUUUGGUGUCCUAAAUUACACUAAAACUCCAGGUGGAAGUCGAAGACUCAGAUCCAAUAUCCUGGAGCCACUUGUUGAUGCUGAAACAAUUAAAACAAGACUGGACUGUGUUCAGGAAUUUCUCCAGGACGAGGAGCUGUUUUUUGGUCUUCAAGCAGUUAUCUCCAAAUUCCUGGAUACAGAACAACUGCUUUCAGUUUUGGUACAGAUUCCAAAGCAAGAUACAGUUAAAACUGCUGAAUCAAAAAUAACUAAUAUAAUCUAUCUGAAGCAUACUCUGGAGCUUGUGGAGCCUCUCAAAGCUGCUUUGAGAAGCUGUAACACAUCCCUGCUAAAGGCCUAUUACAGUGCUCUUGAAGAUAGAAGGUUUGGAAUUAUUCUUGAAAAGAUUACAACUGUGAUUAAUGACGAUACGAGAUAUGCAAAAGGAUGUCUGAGUAUGAGGACCCAAAAAUGCUAUGCUGUUAAGCCAAACAUCAAUGAAUUCCUUGACAUAGCUCGUAGAACAUACACAGAAAUUGUUGAUGACAUAGCAGGUAUGAUAACACAACUUGCUGAGAAGUACAGCCUGCCACUGAAAACAAGUUUCAGUUCUGUGCGUGGAUUUUUUAUCCAGCUAAAUGCUGAUUGUUCAACAUUACCCAACGGCCAACUUCCUUCAGAAUUUACAAAGGUCACUAAAACGAGGAACAUAUAUAGUUUCACUUCAGCAGAUUUAAUAAAAAUGAAUGAAAGAUGCCAGGAAUCCCUGAGAGAAAUAUAUCACAUGACCUACUUAAUAGUGUGUAAACUACUGAAUGAAAUCUAUGAACAUAUUCAUUGUCUCUACAAGCUGUCUGACAUCGUGUCAAUGCUAGACAUGCUGCUUUCAUUUGCUCAUGCCUGCACUAUUUCUGACUAUGUUCGUCCAGAAUUUACAGAUACUUUGGCGAUCAAGCAGGGAUGGCAUCCUAUUCUUGAAAAGAUAGCUAUGGAAAAACCCGUGUCUAACAAUGCAUAUCUGACAGAAGGUAGCAAUUUUCUCAUUAUCACAGGACCAAAUAUGAGUGGAAAAUCAACAUAUCUAAAACAGAUUGCGCUCUGUCAAAUUAUGGCGCAGAUUGAUAACAUACAUCAUACAAAAUGCUAAUGACAAAUCACUCAUCAUAAUUGAUGAACUUGGCAGAGGUACCAGUGCUGAAGAAGGUAUUGGCAUUUGUUAUGCUGCCUGUGAAUAUCUUUUGAAUUUGAAGGCAUUUACUUUGUUUGCUACGCAUUUCCUGGAGCUGUGUCAUAUGGAUGCUCUGUAUCCCAAUGUGGAAAAUUACCAUUUUGAAGUGCAGCAUGUGAGAAGCAGCGCUGGAAAGAAGGAGAAAAUUACGUAUACUU